rnacentral:rRNA from 1 species
UGGGGAAUUUUGCACAAUGGGGGAAACCCUGAUGCAGCGACGCCGCGUGAUUUAGAAGGCCUUCGGGUUGUAAAAAUCUUUUCUAUGGGAAGAAAAUGACAGUACCAUAGGAAUAAGGACCGGCUAAUUACGUGCCAGCAGCCGCGGUAAUACGUAAGGUCCGAGCGUUGUCCGGAAUCAUUGGGCGUAAAGGGUACGUAGGCGGGUAAGCAAGUUAGAAGUGAAAUCCUAUAGCUCAACUAUAGUAAGCUUUUAAAACUGCUCAUCUUGAGGUAUGGAAGGGAAAGUGGAAUUCCUAGUGUAGCGGUGAAAUGCGCGGAUAUUAGGAGGAAUACCGGUGGCGAAGGCGACUUUCUGGCCAUAACCUGACGCUGAGGUACGAAAGCGUGGGUAGCAAACAGG